AGUUGGUGGGUUAAUUGCCUAGAAAAGAUUUUUCAUAUGUCUUACUCGCCCGUACCGUAAACCGACACAGGUGGGUGAGUGUAAAUGCACUAAGGCGCGCGAGAGAGACCUCUCUAAGGAACUCGGCACAUUAGCCUCGUAACUUCGGGAAAAGAGGUGCUCACUUCGGUGAGCCACAGUAAAUUGCGUUUAGCGACUGUUUAACAAAAACACAGCACUCUGCUAAGUCGUUAAGACGACGUAUAGGGUGUGACACGUGACCAAUGCGGAAAGAUUAAGGCAUUUUGUUAGCCGCAAGGCGAAGCUCGGUGCCAAAGUCCCCGUGAAUGUCGGCCGUAACUAUAACGGUCCUAAGGUAGCGAAAUUCCUUGUCGGGUAAGUUCCGACCUGCACGAAUCGUGUAACGACUGAACGACUGUCUCGGAGAGGAUCUCGGCGAAACUGUAACUGCGGUGAAGAUGCCGCAUGCCCGCAGUAGGACGGAAAGACCCUAUGCACCUUUACUGUAAGCUGGUAUUGUGUUCUGAUUAAUAAUGCGUAGCGUAGGUGGGAGGCUUUGAAGUGAGUGCUUCGGUGCUCAUGGAGCCGCAAUGUGAAACACCACUCUUUGCUAAUUAGGAUUCUAACCUCGAUUCCUGUCAACCAGGCGAGGGACAGUGCUUGCGGGUCAGUUUGACUGGGGCGGUUUCCUCCCAAAGAGUAACGGAGGAGCGCGAAGCUUGGCUCAGCACGGUUGGCAACCGUGCGUCGAGCGUAUGGGUAUAAGCCAGGUUAACUGUGAGACCUACAAGUCGAGCAGAUGCGAAAGCAGGCCCAAAUGAUCCGAUGGUUUAAUGUGGAAUUGCCAUCGCUCAACGGACAAAAGGUACGCUAGGGAUAACAGGCUGAUCGGUUCCAAGAGUUCACAUCGACGAACCGGUUUGGCACCUCGAUGUCGGCUCAUCGCAUCCUGGGGCUGGAGAAGGUCCCAAGGGUCCGGCUGUUCGCCGGUUAAAGCGGUACGCGAGCUGGGUUCAGAACGUCGUGAGACAGUUCGGUCCUUAUCCACUGUGGGCGCAGGAAUCUUGAGGGGUUCAUUCUCUAGUACGAGAGGACCGAGAAUGACGCACUUCUGGUGUGGCAGUUGUUCCAUCAGGGGCAUCGCUGCGUAGCCAUGUGCGGAAGAGAUAAGCGCUGAAAGCAUCUAAGUGCCAAGCUCAUCCCAAGAUAUGGAUUCCCGGACGCAAGUCCCUAAAGACCCCCGGCAGACUACCGGGUUGAUAGGUCAGGCAUGUAAGCGUCGCGAGAUGUUUAGUGGACUGAUACUAAUUGGUCGUGCGGCUUGAUCGC
rnacentral:rRNA from 1 species